rnacentral:rRNA from 1 species
ACACCGCCCGUCGCUACUACCGAUUGAAUGGCUCAGUGAGCCUUCGGACUGGCUCGAGGAGGUUGGCAACGACCACCCCGAGCCGGAAAGUUGGUCAAACUCGGUCAUUUAGAGGAAGUAAAAGUCGUAACAAGGUUUCCGUAGGUGAACCUGCGGAAGGAUCAUUA